rnacentral:rRNA from 1 species
CCUACGGGUGGCUGCAGUGGGGAAUUUUGGACAAUGGGGGCAACCCUGAUCCAGCCAUGCCGCGUGCGGGAAGAAGGCCUUCGGGUUGUAAACCGCUUUUGUCAGGAGAGAAAUCUCUUGGGCUAAUACCCUGAGAGGAUGACGGUACCUGAAGAAUAAGCACCGGCUAACUACGUGCCAGCAGCCGCGGUAAUACGUAGGGUGCAAGCGUUAAUCGGAAUUAGCGGGGGCGAUUCGUGAGGACACGUGUGAACUCCCCGGGCUUAACCUGGGACCUGCACUUUUGACUGCACGGCUAGAGUACGGCAGAGGGGGAUGGAAUUCCGCGUGUAGCAGUGAAAUGCGUAGAUAUGCGGAGGAACACCGAUGGCGAAGGCAGUCCCCUGGGCCUGUACUGACGCUCAUGCACGAAAGCGUGGGGAGCAAACAGGAUUAGAUACCCGUGUAGUC